rnacentral:rRNA from 1 species
GAUGAACGCUGGCGGCGUGCCUAAUACAUGCAAGUCGAGCGAACGGACGAGAAGCUUGCUUCUCUGAUGUUAGCGGCGGACGGGUGAGUAACACGUGGAUAACCUACCUAUGAGACUGGGAUAACUUCGGGAAACCGUAGCUAAUACCGGAUAAUAUUUUGAACCGCAUGGUUCAAAAGUGAAAGACGGUCUUGCUGUCACUUAUAGAUGGAUCCGCGCUGCAUUAGCUAGUUGGUAAGGUAACGGCUUACCAAGGCAACGAUGCAUAGCCGACCUGAGAGGGUGAUCGGCCACACUGGAACUGAGACACGGUCCAGACUCCUACGGGAGGCAGCAGUAGGGAAUCUUCCGCAAUGGGCGAAAGCCUGACGGAGCAACGCCGCGUGAGUGAUGAAGGUCUUCGGAUCGUAAAACUCUGUUAUUAGGGAAGAACAUAUGUGUAAGUAACUGUGCACAUCUUGACGGUACCUAAUCAGAAAGCCACGGCUAACUACGUGCCAGCAGCCGCGGUAAUACGUAGGUGGCAAGCGUUAUCCGGAAUUAUUGGGCGUAAAGCGCGCGUAGGCGGUUUUUUAGUCUGAUGUGAAAGCCCACGGCUCAACCGUGGAGGGUCAUUGGAAACUGGAAAACUUGAGUGCAGAAGAGGAAAGUGGAAUUCCAUGUGUAGCGGUGAAAUGCGCAGAGAUAUGGAGGAACACCAGUGGCGAAGGCGACUUUCUGGUCUGUAACUGACGCUGAUGUGCGAAAGCGUGGGGAUCAAACAGGAUUAGAUACCCUGGUAGUCCACGCCGUAAACGAUGAGUGCUAAGUGUUAGGGGGUUUCCGCCCCUUAGUGCUGCAGCUAACGCAUUAAGCACUCCGCCUGGGGAGUACGACCGCAAGGUUGAAACUCAAAGGAAUUGACGGGGACCCGCACAAGCGGUGGAGCAUGUGGUUUAAUUCGAAGCAACGCGAAGAACCUUACCAAAUCUUGACAUCCUUUGACAACUCUAGAGAUAGAGCCUUCCCCUUCGGGGGACAAAGUGACAGGUGGUGCAUGGUUGUCGUCAGCUCGUGUCGUGAGAUGUUGGGUUAAGUCCCGCAACGAGCGCAACCCUUAAGCUUAGUUGCCAUCAUUAAGUUGGGCACUCUAAGUUGACUGCCGGUGACAAACCGGAGGAAGGUGGGGAUGACGUCAAAUCAUCAUGCCCCUUAUGAUUUGGGCUACACACGUGCUACAAUGGACAAUACAAAGGGCAGCGAAACCGCGAGGUCAAGCAAAUCCCAUAAAGUUGUUCUCAGUUCGGAUUGUAGUCUGCAACUCGACUACAUGAAGCUGGAAUCGCUAGUAAUCGUAGAUCAGCAUGCUACGGUGAAUACGUUCCCGGGUCU